CAGAUAAUGCCAUUUACAUUUAAAAUUGUCUUUGAUUUUCAAGAAAUAGGGAACACAAAAAUCUUCAAGGAUUGAUUCCUGAUUUUCUGAUUCUCUUAAAUUUGGAUUGGCAAAAAACAUGAGAUUGAUUCACUUUCUAAUUUGAUUCAUCUUCUUUGACUAAAAUCAUGGCAAAAGAAAGAAAAUUAUCAGAGGUGGACUUAUUCUGUGGGUUCACUGUUCACUUUCUCUUUCAAGAACAAAGUUGUAGAUCUAGUUUUUAUUUUCUUUCUAGGAAUAUUUUUUUUUCUUGGGCUGGGAAAAUUUCAGGGAGAUCUUCUUCGUCUCUUUACUUUCGUUUCUCUCUCCUACUUUUUUUUUUCUUCACUCGGCAUCUUGCGAACUACGCAAGUUUUUGCUAGUUUACUACUACUAUUUUGAUUUUGUUACCUUUUUUUUUUCUUUUGACAUUUUGAUCGAAAGCUCUUUUUUUCCUUCUCCAGAUUAACGCUCUCCUCCAUUUUUUUUUUCAUUUUUGUAACAAAUUUAUAAUGUUGCUAUAUCGAUGCAAACUAUAUUCUGGUAAUUUCUCUUGAUGUUCUUCGUCAAGUUCUGAGAAAAAUUUCUCGGUUGUUUGUGGUUUUUGUUUCAGUGUGAUUUUUUUAUUUCUCUGUUCAAUCGAUGCCCCUUUACAUUUUUAAUAGCUUGUUGGGAUCAAAAUCUCAGUUGUUUGAUUUUUUGCUUCGCAUCCUUAAAUCGAUUAUUGUCAAGAUCUGUAAUGGAAUUUGAGAUCUGUUGGUGUUUGGUAUUAAUUUUUCAGGUAAGGUGGGAUUUGUUACGAAAUAGGAAGAUUAUUUGUGCCUCUCUCGUUUCCAACAGAUCAACCUUAAGGAAUCAAUAACAGUGAAAUGCAUAUAUGGGUUCCGCUUGAAGACGUUAAUUCUGGAGAGAUAGAGCUUUUGAUCGAAGCUGUGGCUCCUGAGUACAGCGAACUUUAUCGCAGGCAGAUUCUAGUAAAGGCUCAAUUGAACUGGUUCUUGUUGAAGCGCGAUUUUUUUAAAAACAUUUUCCGGCUUUAUCGCAGGCAGAUGAUUUUCAAUCGAUGCCCCUUUACAUUUCAGUAUGAUUUUUUUAUUUCUCUGUUCAAUCGAUGCCCCUUUACAUUUCAGUAUGACCUUCCACUAUCACUACGAAAAUGAUGUAUUCUUUUGACCGGAUUAAUGAAUUAACUAUUUUCAGUGAACAUCUCAGCCUAGUGAA